rnacentral:lncRNA from 1 species
CAAGUACAGAAGAUGGAGAAAACACAGUAGAUGCCCUGCUACGUGCAAAGCACUAUGAAGAGAGAAGAGCCCAGGUGACUGUGGGGAGGAGAAACAAGCAAGGAGGAGACACCCAGGAGAUUGGACAGGGACUCCAGGGCUUCAGAGGCCGCAGAGCCCUGGACCAGGAAGUGCUCUGAGGUGCAGGCUGUGACUCACGGGCUCCCGUCCCC